rnacentral:rRNA from 1 species
AUUGAACGCUGGCGGCAUGCCUUACACAUGCAAGUCGAACGGUAACAGGUCUUCGGAUGCUGACGAGUGGCGAACGGGUGGGUAAUACAUCGGAACGUGCCUAGUAGUGGGGGAUAACUACUCGAAAGAGUGGCUAAUACCGCAUGAGAUCUACGGAUGAAAGCAGGGGAUCGCAAGACCUUGUGCUACUAGAGCGGCCGAUGGCAGAUUAGGUAGGUGGUGGGAUAAAAGCUUACCAAGCCGCCGAUCUGUAGCUGGUCUGAGAGGACGAUUAGCCACACUGGGACUGAGAAACUGCCAAGACUCCUACGGGAGGCAGCAGUGGGGAAUUUUGGACAAUGGGCGAAAGCCUGAUCCAGCAAUGCCGCGUGCAGGAUGAAGGCCUUCGGGUUGUAAACUGCUUUUGUACGGAACGAAAAGCCCCGGGUGAAUACCCUGGGGUCAUGACGGUACCGUAAGAAUAAGCACCGGCUAACUACGUGCCAGCCGCCGCAGUAA